AUCGCUUCUCGGCCUUUUGGCUAAGAUCAAGUGUAGUAUCUAAUGGGGUGGCUGCUGGGAUGAGACACAGAGGAGUCAAGGAUGACACUAG
rnacentral:snRNA from 1 species